rnacentral:rRNA from 1 species
ACAAAAACAUGUCUCUUUGUUUAUUUUUAUGGAGAGUUUAACCUGCCCAGUGAUUAUUAUUUAAACGGCCGCAGUACUUUGACUGUGCAAAGGUAGCAUAAUUAUUUGCCUUAUAAUUGAAGGCUUGUAUGAAUGGUUUGACGAGAAUGAUUCUGUCUUAAUUUAUUUUUUUAGAAUUUAACUUUUAAGUGAAGAGGCUUUUAUUAAAUUGAUAGACAAGAAGACCCUGUUGAGCUUAAAUUUUUAUAUUUGAGUAUAUAAUUUAUAUUAUUUAUAGAUUUUAGUUGGGGUGACUGAGGAACGGUGUGAUCUUCCUUGAAGUGUUUAUAAUUUAUUGAUUUUGAUCCAUUAUUUUGUGAUUAUUAGAAUUAGUUACCACAGGGAUAACAGCAUAAUCUUUUUUGAGAGUUCGUAUCGAAGAAUUGGUUUGUGACCUCGAUGUUGGAUUAAAGUUUCCUAAGGGUGUAGAAGUUUUUAAGGGUUAGUCUGUUCGACUAUUAAAACUUUACAUGAGCUGAG